AGUGAACGCUGGCGGUAGGCCUAACACAUGCAAGUCGAACGGCAGCACAGUAAGAGCUUGCUCUUACGGGUGGCGAGUGGCGGACGGGUGAGGAAUACAUCGGAAUCUACUUUUUCGUGGGGGAACACGUAGGUGAACUUACGCUUAUACCGCAUACGCCUUACGGGUUAAAGCAGGGGAUCUACGGACCUUGUGCGAUUGAAUGAGCCGAUGGCGGAUUAGAUAGUUGGCGGGGUAAUGGCGCACCAAGGCGACGAUCCGUAGUUGGUCUGCGAGGAUGAUCAGCCACACUGGAACUGAGACGCGGUCCAGACUCCUACGGGAGGCAGCAGUGGAGAAUAUUGUACUAGGGGAGCAAGCCGGAUCCAGCCAUACCGAGUAGGUUAAAAAGGCAUUCGGGUUGUAAAGCCCUUUUGUUGGGAAAGAAAAGUAGCAGGUUAAAACCCCGCUGUUCUGACGGUACCCAAAGAAUAAGCACCGGCUAACUUCGUG
rnacentral:rRNA from 1 species